rnacentral:rRNA from 1 species
UUUGCCUACGGGAGGCAGCAGUCGGGAAUAUUGCGCAAUGGAGGAAACUCUGACGCAGUGACGCCGCGUAUAGGAAGAAGGUUUUCGGAUUGUAAACUAUUGUCGUUAGGGAAGAAAAAGGACAGUACCUAAGGAGGAAGCUCCGGCUAACUACGUGCCAGCAGCCGCGGUAAUACGUAGGGAGCGAGCGUUAUCCGGAUUUAUUGGGUGUAAAGGGUGCGUAGACGGGCUAACAAGUUGGUUGUGAAAUCCCUCGGCUUAACUGAGGAACUGCAACCAAAACUGUCAGUCUUGAGUGCAGGAGG